UUGCAGUCAGAGGAUGUAGUGCAGAGUUUACAGGUCUUU
rnacentral:tRNA from 1 species